UAAAUAAACAAUUUAAUGAGCUUUGUAUUUAGACAUCAUGAAAAGACAUAACUUUAGAGUCUAAUAGUGAUACAUUCAUAAAUGGAAUUUCAUUUAAAAUAUUACUGUUUCUUCAGUGAUUUAACAUCACAUUUCAGUUUUAGGCUUUCUCCACUGAGUAUUUACACACAUAAAUGAUUUUUAUAUUGACAUCUAUAAUUUUUCUGAAUGGCAUUUAAAUUAAUACACAUCUUCCAAAAUAAUUACAUAAAUUUGUCUGUUAAGCAACAGUAAAUAUUGACAUCAAGAUUUCAUGUAUGCUGCUCUUAUAAAGAAGUAUGUUUUCAGUAGUUAAAAAACACAGAUAGCUGCAGUUGUGAUUGUAGUGUUCUUAUGUUUGGUUAAACGUUUAUUUGAAUCUAAGAUAUAAAUAUGGCACAUUCAGUCUUUAAAACAUGAAUAUGUAUUAAAUGGUAUUAUUAACUUUCUACAGAGAAGUGGUUAUAUUCGUACUUUGCCACACAACAUUCUCUACUCAUUGGCAAUUCUGGUAUUUCCAUUCACAACCUCAACCUAAUAUCCAGCCAACAUAAUGUGUAGUGUCAAGGAAUUGGGUCAAAUCAUAUUGGGUUUUAGGAACCAGAUCAGACUUUUGGAUCUCUAAUUAGAGACCUUUCAAUUAGAAGAAAUGAGAGAAACUAAAAUAGCCUCAAUUCACUGGUUGGGAGUGUGAGAAAUUGACUAACGAUGCUUACCUUGUUAUUCAGUCCACACCGUGUCACCUGUGGUCCAUACAAGUCACUAACUUGAGUCCACCUUAAGGAAAUCCCACCUGCUAUGCUCCUCUUAUUCUACCAGCAUCAUUUGGAAUUUAAAAGAAUAUUUGACUCUUUGACUUCUCUUUGGUGUUGCUCAACCUUGCUUUGCUGAUCUCAAGAGAAGAAUGCUCAAAAUCAUGUUUCACUUUUUUUCCCCGUACACUCCUGGGAAAUCUAGGGCUACCUCUUUUAUCAGCCUGUGCAAACAAACAUACUAAUAAAUGCACCAGGGAAGUCAAUAAAACAUUAAUUGGUUUUUCUCAGUGUUUCUCAUUGCCAAAUACAAAAUUAGGUGCUUAAAGAACAGCAUUAAACCUUUGAAGCCACUUAAGUACCUGUCUGUGCCUCAGUAAGGCACCAACUAGACUUUUGUGGCCCAGAGGGGCUGGGCUUCCCUAAGCACCAAAUCUGCUACCAGGAAGUAACACCAUUUAAUGGGGAGCGUCUGAUCCAAGAGUAAUAUAGGUAAAACGGAGCAGUCAUGAAAAGAUGCAGUUUUCAAUUCACUGUUUGAAUUUGUGGUUUAUUUAAAUCUACCAGUGAAUAAAAUGCAUGGUAUGUGUGCAUGUAUAGGUAGGUCAGCUAUUUACAGAUAGGUUACGUAUACAUUUUUAUGUGUAGAAAAUGAAAAUACACAUAGAUUAGCCCUUUGGAGGCUUUUGAACAGCUGUUUCCUCUUCCUGUGUUCCUGCAACGGCUUUGAGGAUGGAGGUAAAUCAUACAAGGUAUGUACACAGUCACACCCAUAGCAUGUGCAUUCUGGUCACACAUUUAACGGGAGAAGAUGUGUGAAGCAUGUAAAUCAACCCAGGGGUCAAAGAACUGACCUUACCUGUGACUAAUGGCAUGAGGAAUUAGCCCUGGCGUGCUUAGUAACAUGCCGAUGUGCUGAGUGCUAUGUUCAGCCUUGGUGAUAAUAAGGUUAUCUACCCUCCGAGAUGAUUAAAAGGAGAAACAACAGCCCUUUCUGACCUUCAAAAUGAAAGGACAAGUUCUGUUACAGAACACACACACACACACACACACACACACACACACACACACACACACACACACUUUUGUUGGUCUUACUCACUUUCAGACGUGUGCCUACCCCAUGACAAAAUGUGGCCAUAAGAUGGGAUAUAACAUGUGAAUUUUUUCUACACAUAAAAAUAGAAAAACCAGCCACUCACAGACGGUGCACACGUAGAGAAUAUACUGGAAUACCACGACCAGCUACAGGGUCUACACAACAUAUUGUUCACAUAUUAGUACAGCAGAGAGAAAUAUAUUAGAAAUGCAGUCAUUGUUAGCAUAUUUCCUUCUUGGGUUUUCAGGCCCUGUUGACCUUUCUCAACCUCAGGAAAAGGUAUUUCCAGAUGCCCUUAAGUCAAGAAUUAGUCUCUCCUCCCCUCUAGGGUUUGAGGAGCAUGACUGUAAUUCCGCAAUCUCCCAAUGGACCAAAUCAUCUGAAGACAUGAUGGAAAGCGUUAUGAAGAAUAAUUCACUCGAGGAUGCAGUGAAAAUAAAUGCUAAUAAGUCUACACUGAAAUUAAGAGAGACUGAUAAACAUGGGUACGCCUCUUCUGCUCACUUAAUAGUUUGCUCUGUGCAUAAUAUAAAAGCAAUAGGAAUAAGAAAAAAAUCUUUAACUGCUCAAAAGUUUUGCUGAAGAAUGAUUUAAUUUUUAAAGGAACAAAGAGUUAAUGCUAGCAGCAAUGUUCAAAAACAAGCUAUCCUCUUCACCCCAAAGUAAGCAGAUGACACCCCACAUCUUGAGCUCUCUAACCAAGGUAGGAUUUCGCCCCCCCCCUUUAAUUCUCCUCAACACGCUUGAAUCAGAGGGACCCUCUUGUCAUGAUGAUCACAUGACAUAAUCUCCUGUCAUGAUGAUCAACCAUGCCGGUUGAUCUUCAGUGUGUUUUCUGAAGUGUCAACGAUGUGAUUUUUAUUCCAGCCAAACGAUUUUGAGCUUGGACCCCAAGGGCUACUCAAAGAGUUAGUAUUCAGAACGCCCCUCUGGAACAUCGUUUUCUGUAAGGCAGUAUUUGAGGCCCCUUUGGAUAUGAUUACUCAUGUUUUAGUCAUUUUGCUUUUGAGGAACCCCCCCCCCAUUUUUUAUUUUUUUCAUGGCUAAGGCUGGUAAUCCUCCAGGCAGAGUUAACGGAAUGCCCCAGGUUAGAUGUCCAGGAAGCAUAAUUACCAUACUUUAACCCUCCUUUCCAUCACGUUUCUGGUUGGCCUGUCUUGAGUUUUAAGCUAGCAAGAUUCUUGGGGAUUCCUUUGGGCUUGGCUGGUGUGAAAACACAGCUGUUAACCAUAAAAUCCAAUGCUCACUAGUGCUGUACCUUUUAUGGAGCUCCUAAACAAGGUUCUCCAGCAAGAAAGCAGAAAUCAUGCCUUUGCUUAUGUUAUGCUAUGAGUUACAGUCAGUCUUCAUGGAGCAAACCAUAAUUGUAUAAUGGUGUGCCUAUAAUAGAUGCACUUGCUGGUAUAACUGCCUCUUUUUGGCACAUUAUUGCUUGGCUUUAAUUUCAUUAUCAACAGUCUUUAUUCUCAUGGUGAGUAUCUGAGAUAUCUGGGUCUUAAAAAAAACACCACCAAACUUGUGAAUAACAUCUGGUUGCACGGUUCUGGCUUCUGCGAUCAUUUCACCAAGGCCCAUGGUUAUUUACAUGUCCUUUGUAAGUAUCAUGACCUUGACUUACCUAAUAGCCAACAGUCAUUUUCAGGGUUUUUUUGUUGUUGUUGUUGUCGUUGUCUAUCUACACAUAUAUACAGGUGUGUUGGAUUUACUUCGAGAGAGGUUAUUUGGUUGUGGCAAGUGAGUAGUUUAGCUGGUGAAUGUUCACAGUUAAAAGUAGCUGUAAUGAACUCUGGCAGAUGUCACUGAUUGUAAGAGAGAAUUUUUCCGCCUCAAUCCAUCUUCAUUUUUGUCCUUGGUCACUGCAAAUCAAGUUUAUUUUAUUUCUGCAGCCAAGAGAAUUCCCCCCCUCCCCAAGAGUAGGGUGAAGUUCAGGAAGAUCCGUUCCAGUAUGUACAAGAUUAUUUUUUUCCCUUUUGCAAAAAAUGUCUAAAACGUUGUAGACAUCAAGCCAUGUAUCUGCGCAGAUGACAUUUAUAAUUACUUGUGGUGUCAGGAUUUCACUAAGAAGGGUAGCGUUACAAGGAUGGGCGGGAGAUUCAGCCUAUCACCUGCUAAUUGCCAGGUGCCAGCAGCUGACCCACCUUUGGAGAGAUUCAUCCCAAAGGGCACACAUGGAAGAAAAGAACAUUGCUAACAGAAAACAAGAUGCUCAGAUGGGAAUACAAAGUAGCACACAUGGAGGCAGACGUGGGCGAGACUUCUGAUUUACUGUGUAGACCAAACAAGGGUGGAGACAAGAUGGUCAUUUGUCUAAGAGUCUGCUGAGUUCACUGUAUCAUUAUCACAGAGGAAAAUUCACAGGCUUCAUUUCUCAAAUACCGCUAGGAUGACACUGGAGAGAGGAGGCAGUGUCAUCUCCACGGCAGCAUUGUAGACGAUGAGUUAAGUCAGACAGGCAGAGGCCCACACAAAGGUACAGGUGCCCAAUUAUCAGAAAAAACCCAUAUAGCCAUAUGCAAACCUUAUCCUAAUGUAUUUUUCUUAUUACUGAUUCUUAAAAAGUAGACAAGAGGUGUGGGGAAUUACACAGGACCAGCGGUAGACCCUUUUUUUUAAACACUUGCACAGGAUGUAGGAAGAAGAGAAGACAAUUUCUCUCAUUUUGGCAGCAAGAUGAUAACAAAGUGGAUACAACAAAGGCCCAAUAGUGGACACUAACGGCAUACUCACGUAUGUGCUCUGUAGAAAAUUUGAAAAGUUGCGUCAUAUUCUAGUCUUCAUGUGGCAAUAUACAGGUAUUUCUGAAUGACAGAAACUCGCAGAGAUGUGAGGAAGUACAUUAGAACAGGAACCACGAAAGCUUAAGACUCUGGGAUACAACCCAAAGAUGCUUUUCUCAUCUGCUUUUUACUUUAAGAUGACAAGCUCCUAUUAAGGAUUUGGUUCCAAAACCCAAGGGAUACGUUACACGUGCAUAUUCAGUCCACUUUAUUUCAGUGAGGGUAUUGAACUGAUAAUAUGGAGAACAACAGUAGCCAAAAAUAAUAAUUAUAACCAUCCUAAAGGUUAAAAAUCAUCAAAAAUCAAAUUAUAUUCGAUAUAGCGGAACUUGGUCGAGGUAGGAAAACACAGUAAUAUUUUUCACAGAUAUUUCAUUUUGGAUGCCAACAAAAAGGUCUCUGGUUAACUUGGACCUGACACAAUGUUCCACUUCCGCCACUGAUCCAAAAGGCAGAGCUUAAUUAGGACUUUCCUGUAUGUAAAGCAGUUGGUCUGUGGCAUUGGGGCCAUAAUCCAGAAAGCCAUAACUAGAAAAGCACUGAAGAUAAAGAAAUCCAUGACAGCUGCAGUGAUCACAUUUUUCUGGUCGUCACAAAAAUAGAAAAAUCAAUAUUUAAGUGAAAAAUUCUAGAAUUCCCCAGGUAAGCCAUAUAGCAUCUUCACCUUUUAAAUAUUUAGGUGUUAUAACUCAUCUUUUGUUAUAACUCAUCUCUCUUUAAAAUCAAUAUUUAAAUGAAAAAUUCUAGAAUUCCCCAGGUAAGCCAUAUAGCAUCUUCACCUUUUAAAUAUUUAGCUGUUAUAACUCAUCUUUUGUUAUAACUCAUCUCUCUUUAAAAUCAAUAUUUAAAUGAAAAAUUCUAGAAUUCUCCAGGUAAGCCAUAUAGCAUCUUCAACUUUUAAAUAUUUAGGUGUUAUAUAAGUAAAUAUGGCUUACUUGUAUUUUUUACUUAAUAAAAUAUUUCCUCCAUUUAUUGCAACAACUAAACGGCAUUCAAGGCACCAAAACAGAACGAAAAGAAAUUAAGGACCGAAAGAGCGUUCAGCCCAAUUUGUGUCUUGCAGGUGAGGAGGUUCAAAGAGUCUGCCAUGUAAAUUGUCUUGCAAUUUCAUUUGUUGAGUGAACCUAAGGAAACACAAACGAUGUCUGGAAUUUGUCUGCUGUGUCAUGGUUCCAAGUGAAAGAACAUUUUCAAGUCGAGGUUUUAUCGCGAGAGUCCUUACGGUAUCAUGAUGCGGAAACACUGCUGUCUUGACUAGGCUCCUGUCUUAUUUCUCCAUUUGAUGAUCUAUUUCUGUGACUGUUUUUCAAAGCUGUUCCUUCUAUAGGGCUCAGGGAGUGGGAAGAAAACUUCUGUAACAUUUUGGGACAAUCUUUAGAGUGUGGUGAAGAUCGUUGAGUAGAAAAAAAAAUUCAAGAUUUAGAAGUAAAGGUGAGUUCCAGUCCCAGAGAAAAUCCAAGUUACUCCAUCACACAUUGUUUUAAUUUGAGGGGGCACCACUACAACACCAAAUUUCGUUUUCUUUAUUUAAUUUUAUUAAUUAAUUAAUUUUUCUUGUCUUCUUAGGGCUGCACCUGGAGCGUAGGGAAGGUCCCAGGCUAGGGGUUGAAUUGGAGCUGCAGCUGAGGCCUACACCAUGGCCACAACAAUGCAGGAUCCGAGCCGCAUCUGAGCUUGCAGCAAUGCCUGAUCCUUAACCCACUAAGUGAGGCCAAGGAUUGAACCUGCAUCCUCAUGGAUACUAGUUGGGUUCUUAACCCACUGAGCCACAAUGGAGCUCUUAGCAGUGUACUUUUCAUGUGUGACAAAUGCCUACAACUGCCUUCAUCCUCCGCUUCCUUUCACUAUUUAUAAGUCAUGUGGUUACUCCAAACUCAUGAAAACAAAUACCAUCACCAGAUGCUGAAUUCUCCCUUUUCUCCCAGUUUAAUGCAGGAACAGCCUGUUCUAGCCAGUUCAGAGCAGAGGGUGACCUGGGGCCUCCCAUCUGGAGUGGGUGCCACUGACAGCUGCGGCUGUGUACACAGGGUGUUUCCCUGUGUGUACACAGCACCUAUGCCAGACUGUGAGGGACAUGGCGGGGAGGUGACAUCCUGGCAAAGGCAUCUCUCCUACAGAAGGGAAACGGGCACGCGACAAAUGGGUAUUUUAGGCCGAGAGAGAGUUUUAGACUGAAUGCAUUAAUAGUAAUUUGAUGGCUAAUUUAAUGGUAAUUUCUACUUUUGAUACCCUUCUUAAUAGAGGCCCGUUGGUAAGAAACUGAAACAUGGGCUUUAUGAAAAAAUCCAUUCGAAGUUCCAAGCCUAGCACCUGUCAUGGCCCUUCUCUGGCUCUGAGAAUGCCGUGCCUGUGGUCUGUGUCUGCACCCUUCACGGACAGUCCAAUUGCUUCGAAAGAAUCCAUGGUUAGUUCUUAAUUUGUUAUGUCAGGUGUAGCUGUGGUGUGCAUGUUUAGGUAUGAUUUCCCCUUUGUUGAGAAUCUGCAAAAGAGAAUUGAAAUAAAUAAUAAUAAUAAUAAAAAAGCCGACACAGAAAUUGUGAAUUUACUGCACCCAUGGCAUUUCUGAGAGAGAGAGAGAAUAUAUGGCCGGACCCUCUUUUCUGGCUCACCCAGGGCAAUGGGUUUAGAGAAGGCAGCUUAAGCCCCUCCAGCCUCUAACUGUGAUUAUCUAAAAGCAAGGUACAAACCAGCAACAUCCCUACAGCAAGACGAGGAGCCAAGUCUCUGCAGAACUCUUGCUCCUUGCCCUCUUCCCUGCUACCCAGACUCAGGUCAUUGCUGGUCAUCCCAGCCCCGGGCCCCGCAUGACACUCGUGGGCCCCAGGACUCACUCCCCUUAUGGGGCAGGUGAGGGCUCAGCUAUGCUCUCAAGCACCUCAGUCCAUGCAAAGCUCACACGGUGUUUUAGACAGGUGGCUCCUUUUAUUGGGUUUGAACAUGAGAUACGAUGGUAUUUCUCUUAAAGCCAAUAGGCUUGCAGAGGUUACCCCGGUACCACAGAUGAGACUUCAACGAUUAGACGAUACGAGUCUACAAACAGAAGCAGUGAGGAAGCUUGUGUUCUAUUUGACUACAUUUUCUCCUAGAAGCCACCAAACUAAAUCAAACCAAAG
rnacentral:lncRNA from 1 species